CAAGUUCGACAAGAUGUUUUCACUGUACCAUUGUCUACCACCUUCAAAAACUAAUUUGGGCUUGUUAAAAAGUGAAAUGUAAGUACUUUUAAAUAUUGUAUUUAUUAGUACGCGAAAGUUUUUAAUAAAAUUGUUAAGAGGCGUCACUUGAAUUAAAACCUGUUAUCUUGAUUUUUGUCAAAAAUUAAAAUGGCACUGUAUAAUUUUGAUAGCAGAAUCGAAAAGUAAAUUAAAUUUACUAAAAUAAGCCUGAAAACUCAAAUCGCCUUUUUUUUUUACUUUUCGAGUUAUUGCCGAUAUAACAAAUUUUGACGAUUAAAAUGAAUAAUGUCACUUGGCAUUAAUAAUUAUUGGGUUUCUGGGUUUGGAAUUAUGGCAUCCAAUCCUUUAUAGAAUUGAUAGGUCCUUAAACAAAUAUAACACAGCUAGCCAGUUUUAAAAAGACAAACCUAUGAGCAAUAUUGAAAAUUAGUUAUGAUAGGGAGGCCAUUGCUGCCUCUAAAUCCCUUGCAACAGAAUUAUUAAAGGUUGAUUUUGUCAUCGAUAAAAAUUCAGUAGCAAAUAAAGCAGUAAAUAUGGACCCGUUGACUCUACCAAUAGUGCGACUAUCAAGAGACUCAGAUGCGACUGAUGGUCGCUAUUUAUUGGCCAGACUGAGAGACCCUUCCAUCAGGCCAGGCGCAAAAUGAGACGCAGCUUGGUGAGGUGAGGCAGCGUGAGUCACGGCGAGAUUUUGUAAACCUAAUAAAGAAUAGUUGUUGCGCAUAUUUUUUCGCAGCGUGUCGUGCGCAGUUUUAGCUGAACGUGAUCCUACAGAACGCAGUGUCAAUGCCGCAGUUUUGUACAUUAUUCACGGUGAGUAGUUUAAAAAUAUGGAAGAAAAACUAAUCGAGGCCGUGCGAAAUCGACAAGUUUUAUACGAUACAAGUCAUGUAGACUACAUGAGGACAAAACUAAAAACUGAAAAGUGGGAAGAAAUCGCUAAAGAAGUCGAUAUGAAAACUGGAUCUAAGCAAAGGCGUUGUGGGAGAAACUAAGACAUUUAUUGAGGGAUGCGAUUAGGAGGCAACAGAAAUAUUUGAAAAAUGGAGCACCGGCGAAAGUUGUCAAGGAGUGGAAGUUUCAGAAACAGAUGGGAUUCCUACAGCCUUACAUGGCUAAUAAAUCGAGAGAAGGAAACCUCCGAGAAGACGGUGAAAAUCAAAACCUAAUCCAAGAUUCGGAACAAGAUAUAAUAUCUGCAAAUGUAGACAAUGAAAAUAUAGAAGUAAACACUCAACAGCAAGACGAAUGCGUAGAGGAUGAAAUCCAACCACAGAUACUUCCAGAAAUGUUACCUUCGACGUCAGCUACAACUCUCAAAUACUAAACACUGUACCCAAUAAAAUAAAAGCAAUACCUACUAUACAAUAAAAUUCGAAAGUAUUUAACGGCUUGCAAAAAUAUCAAUUUGUACUUACCUAUAGCCACAAACCAUAAAGCCGAUACAAGACAAAGCUAUAGUCACAAGCUAAACAGAACGAGCAAAGUUGUAAUAUAAGAAGAUAUUUCGGAGAUUCCUGCAUGGUCCAGAGCCAGACAAAGAAGGAGUCUCCCCCAAAUCGGGCUGGCAAUUGCCUUGCAGCAAAGCCAUCAACAAAACAAGACAAGACAACAACAGAAUAUCAAAUGAACGCAGUUCACAUUUUGAUCGGCGUUCCGUUGAACCUAAGAUCAAAAUUGAUUUAUACAACCGGCCCUUAAAGACUUUGGUUUACUAUUAGAAGUGUCUAUGCUACCCCUUUUUCGUGAAAUGGAAUGUAUUUCUAAGAGUCCUUGUAAAUGCACAUCUUGUAAGUCUUUUGUUUGCAAAUUACAAAACAAAUUAAGCAUACUUUGUUUUUCUUCUUCAGUCAGUCCACUUAAACAUUUCUUGUAACAACUAAAAGGAUAAACUAGUUUGCCUAACGAUGAUUUAAAAAAACCCCAGACUUACCA
rnacentral:lncRNA from 1 species